rnacentral:rRNA from 1 species
AUUGAACGCUGGCGGCAGGCUUAACACAUGCAAGUCGAGCGGGGUGAUGGUGCUUGCACUAUCACUUAGCGGCGGACGGGUGAGUAAUGCUUAGGAAUCUGCCGAUUAGUGGGGGACAACAUCUCGAAAGGGAUGCGAAUACCGCAUACGUCCUACGGGAGAAAGCAGGGGAUCACUUGUGACCUUGCGCUAGUAGAUGAGCCUAAGUGGGAGUAGCGAGUGGGUGGGGUAAAGGCCUACCAAGGCGACGAUCUGUAGCGGGUCUGAGAGGAUGAUCCGCCACACUGGGACUGAGACACGGCCCAGACUCCUACGGGAGGCAGCAGUGGGGAAUAUUGGACAAUGGGGGGAACCCUGAUCCAGCCAUGCCGCGUGUGUGAAGAAGGCCUUAUAGUUGUAAAGCACUUUAAGCGAGGAGGAGGCUCUUUUGGUUAAUACCCAAGAUGAGUGGACGUUACUCGCAGAAUAAGCACCGGCUAACUCUGUGCCAGCAGCCGCCGUAAUAC